GACGAACGCUGGCGGCGUGCCUAAUACAUGCAAGUAGAACGCACAGUUUAUACCGUAGCUUGCUACACCAUAGACUGUGAGUUGCGAACGGGUGAGUAACGCGUAGGUAACCUGCCUGGUAGCGGGGGAUAACUAUUGGAAACGAUAGCUAAUACCGCAUAAUAUUGAUUAUUGCAUGAUAAUUAAUUGAAAGGUGCAAUUGCACCACUACCAGAUGGACCUGCGUUGUAUUAGCUAGUAGGUGAGGUAACGGCUCACCUAGGCGACGAUACAUAGCCGACCUGAGAGGGUGAUCGGCCACACUGGGACUGAGACACGGCCCAGACUCCUACGGGAGGCAGCAGUAGGGAAUCUUCGGCAAUGGACGAAAGUCUGACCGAGCAACGCCGCGUGAGUGAAGAAGGUUUUCGGAUCGUAAAGCUCGGUUGUAAGAGAAGAACGGGUGUGAGAGUGGAAAGUUCACACUGUGACGGUAUCUUACCGGAAAGGGACGGCUAACUACGUG
rnacentral:rRNA from 1 species